AAUAAGUUCAUCUUUAUUGAAAGUCAAAUCAAGCUUCCGCCAAGUGCAGCUCAUGGAUAGGGUGUGUUGACUCCACACAAUUCUGUAAAACCAGAAAAGGAAGAUCUCAUUCUCAUGCAGCUUGCAUCAAAAACCUGGUUUGGCGACGGCAGUGAUACGGCUCAGGUGCGGUACCAUCGUGAAUUCAAAAAUCCGGUUGGACGAUUUCGAUACUUACAUCUACAACAGUCGCAACUCGACCGAAGCCGCGUUCUCCUCUUUAUCGUCCAGUAACGCCAUACUGAGAUAUUAGUCGAUUCAACGCGGAAUAGAAUAUGCAAAACAUGGACUCGAAAGAAGAUGCAAAUAAGGACAGGAACUUUUCUUUGAACAUUCCGGUAACCAUCAUGGCAUUAGGAAUAGCUACUGCGUCCUUCUUUUCAUUGGUAAAGGUAAUCUACGAUUUUGUGUGCGGUAGACUCACUCGAUCUGCAUAUAACUUUAAUUGUACCUACGCCACUUGCUUGUCGCUUCAAAUUGUCAUUGCAUAUGUUAUAGUUUGUCUCAAUAUCGAUAAGCGUGUGAACUUGUCUAAAUUUAAGGUGUUAGCAUGUUUGAUAUUCCUUUCUCUUGUGAUGUGUGCAACAGUUUCAGUUUUGAUUGCUUUGAUGGAUUGGAAUGGUCAAUGGUAUGUCGGGAACACAACCGUUAUCAAUUAAUUUGUCUUCAAGGUUCAAAGGAUCUUUUUCUUUUACUCUCACUUCGCUAGUUUUCCCUUGAUGGCUUGAUCUGAAAUUCUUUGAAAGUAAAAUUUGAUUGUCUGACGCAACUUCCCGCCAAAAUAAUACAAAAUCUUGCCUCUUUGGUAGAUUAUCAGAUAAA